rnacentral:misc_RNA from 1 species
GAUGAGAUCUUGACUGUUCUGGCUCUCGAAAGCAAGAGACUCAUGUCGCUGACGGCGGGGUGAGUCAGAUACUUCCUAUCCCAUCCCACCCCUCUCUGGAGGCGGAUUCGAAGGGCGGGUGGAAAGUCGAUUACGGAAGUUCAAGGAGAAAGCCCCGUGCUUUAGCGCGGGGAAGAUGUCAAUCAGAAUACGUUC